GGGGUGGACUCUCGCCUAUCUUCUCUAUGGGAUCCACGGGAUAGUCCCAUGAUCCUAGGAGAGGGUAGACGUGAGCCAGCCUGAAGAAACGUCAAGCAGAGCCCCAGGAAUAAACCGCGAAAUCCCUAAGGAUCCAAAAGGAUCUGCAGGAUGUCUCAGGCCUGUCUAGUCGUUGUAGGGAGAUCCUCUGCGAGGCCCGGGAUGAAGUAACGCAGUGAGGCCAAGGGCCCGGCCAUCUUUUGCUGACACCUGCCUCUGGGGUCUCAGUUUAGAUUCCAUCACCCAAAGACCCCUCAACAACUCACCAGACUAUAUUCCAAUCCCCAUGGGACCUGAUUCCUGCAAACAGCCUCUUUCAGGAAGGGUGUCAGAAGAGCAGUUUCCAGCGACCAACUCACACUCUUGAAACGCCUCCUCGUCCAGCGGGACCCGACAACGGAGACGACCCGAUGGGUCCCUAAGGUCAAGACUUUUAGGGUCCCGCAGUGGGUUAUGUCAAGCAGCCUUUUUCCCGAUACCAGGCCGGCUCUGCCUGUACCAUUUUCUUCUGCUUGGGCAGGCUGACAGCUCUGACAGUCCGGUGCUCCGGCCUGCCUCGCUAAUGCGCAUGCGCUAGUUUCAGGGCACCAGGCCUGAGCUGUGAGCUCUGGCUAGCAUCACGAUGAAUGCCACUGUUGCCUAACGACAAAUCUGUGCGACUUAGCUGGGAAGGAGACCACCGUGGAGGUGCGAAGGCGGUGGACUCUCGCCUGUCUUCUCCGUGGGAUCCACAGGAUAGUCCGACGAUCCUAGGAGAGGGCAGAUGUGAACGAGCCUGAAGAAACGUAAGGCAGAGCCCCAGGACUAAACCACGAAAUCUCUAAGGAUCCUAAAGGAUCUGCAGGAUGCCUCCGGCCUGCCUAGUCGUUGUAAGGAUAUGGACACUAUUGAUGGGAGCGGCUGGCCAUCUGGAGUGGCAGUUGCCAUCAUGCCAGUAGCGCUUGGGCCGCACGGGCAGUGUUGUCAGGAGCAGCAGCAGGAGCAGCAGUGGCGGUGGAACGUCUCCGGAUGCCAGGACUUGAAAUGGGCCAACCAGGAUGGCGAAACCACAGGCAGAGUCCGGGGAAGCAGAGCGGCAUCCCAUCCUCAGGCCUGACCGGAUGGUGUUCGGGUUUGUGAAGGCCUGGACACAUGAGGAGAUGCGUUUGUCCCGGAGCAAUUGGACUAUCAUCCCCAUCCUUAGCAGCUUCUUUUCCAGGAUCAAGAUGAUGACACUCCAGCCUAGGACAAAGGCCCCACAGGAGCUCAUUGUCCUGCAGGAGAGGAGCAGACCCACGUCAGAGAAGAUGGCUGUAUCUUUUCACGGCUCUUCUCUGAGAAAUGAAGCCAUACCACGAUACAGUCUUGAAGAGGAAGCCGGGAAUGGGAGAUGGCAGCAAUCCCUGUCCCUGUGACGCUGGCCUCUCUGGACAAGUCACCCAUUUGGCACCUCUCCCCUUAUGUCCAUGGCAGUGGCACGGUGCUGUAUCCUCCCUGGGCUCUGACCUCUGCUCUGGCCACCCUGUUACUCUGUCUCCCCUGUUUCUGAGAGGCCUAGAUGCCUCUUGAUCUGGCUGAAUGUCUUCAACAAAGCUCACUUCCCUGUCCAUCAGGGAGACAGUUG